GAAUAUUGGACAAUGGGCGCAAGCCUGAUCCAGCCAUGCCGCGUGCGUGAAGAAGGCCUUAGGGUUGUAAAGCGCUUUCACUGGUGAAGAUGAUGACGGUAGCCAGAGAAGAAGCCCCGGCUAACUCCGUGCCAGCAGCCGCGGUAAUACGGAGGGGGCAAGCGUUGUUCGGAAUUACUGGGCGUAAAGGGCGCGUAGGCGGAACAUUAAGUUAGGGGUGAAAGGCCUGGGCUCAACCUGGGAACGGCCUCUAAGACUGAUGAUCUCGAGUCCGGAAGAGGAUGGAGGAAUUCCCAGUGUAGAGGUGAAAUUCGUAGAUAUUGGGAAGAACACCGGUGGCGAAGGCGGCCAUCUGGUCCGGCACUGACGCUGAGGCGCGAAAGCGUGGGGAGCAAACAGGA
rnacentral:rRNA from 1 species